GAAUAUGUGUAAUCGUUGGCUUAGGAGUUAAACCCUAAUGUAGGAUUUUAUCAAAUGGCAAAACAGAGCUCAAAAUUUCCAUAAAAACACUGGCCGAUAUUCUCAAAAAACCAUUCUUCCUCUAUUGUUCUUCUUCAUGACCUGAAGAAGUUUGUUUGGUGAUAAACCCCUGAAUCAGGUUAGCAACCCCAAUCAACACGGUGUAUUUGACAUAACGUUGGUCGCUGAGCUAGCUUUAAUUCCCAGGGAUAUUCUACAGGGCUAGUGUUCAUGUAUGGACAUCGUCAGGUUCGUAGAAAACCAACGUUCCUUCAAUAUUUUGUAAGCUUUUCAUCUACACGUCUUUAAGGAUCAGGGGGAUGAUGACGAUGAAAACAAUUAGUGCAGUUAAACUCAGCCUUGUCCUUGUCAAAUGACCCCUGAAUAUUCUCUUUUUUCUCAACGCAAAACAAAUCAGGAAGAUCAUCCUCCAUGAACUUAUCUAGCUCUUCUGAUCAAUCAGAGGGGUCCAGUGCUGUUUUCAAGGUGCACAAGUCUCCUUUGCAGAUCAUCAUGCAAUGUUUUGGAAGUGACCGACACAUCUCCGGCCAUUUGAUUACCAACUCAGUUCCACCCUUUGAAGCUUUACCAGGCAAGCGUUGGUUUAGUUACUGAUUAGUUAUGGGUUUUUGGGGUUAUGAUCCCCCAUCAGCGUCCCAUCAUGCUACCGUGUAAAAGCUUAAAUGCUCUAGUUUUCCUUUUGUGUGCCAGAUUUAGUUCACAAAAGAUGUCUUGAUACCCAAGUUUCUUAGUUCCCAGCAUAAUCAAAAGGGUGUGAGAUGGAUUCGUUAACUCAUUUGCCUAAACUACAUUAGAAAAUGUGGACAGACGGUGAAUGGACGAUGGCAUGUCUACGGUAACAGUUGCAGAGAAUAAAGUAGCCCCCCCUAUCUGGGCUAAAAUUGCUGCAUAAAGGAUUUUGAGACUUUUGCAGGCAUCCGAUACGCUCACCAAAAGCAAAGCUUCACAUUUUAGAUGGUAUCAAUGCAAUUGCAUAAUGCCAUGGUACGAAAAUCAGCUUGGAAACAAGUACACGCCAGAAUGCUUGCAAACAUGAAUAAAGAUGCCAACGG